CCCCAAAAACAUCUACAAACACCUCUUCAACAAACACAACUUCAAACCAGAGCACCAACACAUCCUCGACCCCAAAAACAUCAACAAACAGCUCAUCGACCAACACAUCAUCAAAACCGAGCACAGCUACAAACAGCUCAUCAACAAACACGUCUUCAACCCCAACAACAUCUACAAACAGCUCAGUGACAAAUGCUCCUGCAGUAGCUGCAGUAUUUAACAUGACCAUAAGCAUUAAUGAUACCUUUACUCCAGCUCUGGCCAACGCCAGCUCUCCGCAGUUUGCAUUAUUAGCUAGCGCUCUCAAAGAAAUGUUUGAACCAAUGUUAGGCAAAAUCUUCAACAACUUUGCUGGGAUUCAAAUUCUUGGAUUCUCGAAUGGUUCUAUUAUAGUUAACUUCAGCAUUGAAUUCAACAACAAUGACCUCAUCCCAACUAACAGCACUGUAAAAAUCAUACUUUUCAGUGCGAGUAUUGCCAAUACAAGCUUGAACAUUAUUCCAAAUUCUAUAAACGUCA